rnacentral:rRNA from 1 species
UGGGGAAUAUUGGACAAUGGGCGCAAGCCUGAUCCAGCCAUGCCGCGUGAGUGAUGAAGGCCCUAGGGUUGUAAAGCUCUUUCACCGGUGAAGAUAAUGACGGUAACCGGAGAAGAAGCCCCGGCUAACUUCGUGCCAGCAGCCGCGGUAAUACGAAGGGGGCUAGCGUUGUUCGGAUUUACUGGGCGUAAAGCGCACGUAGGCGGACGUUUAAGUCAGGGGUGAAAUCCCGGGGCUCAACCCCGGAACUGCCUUUGAUACUGGAAGUCUUGAGUAUGGUAGAGGUGAGUGGAAUUCCGAGUGUAGAGGUGAAAUUCGUAGAUAUUCGGAGGAACACCAGUGGCGAAGGCGGCUCACUGGACCAUUACUGACGCUGAGGUGCGAAAGCGUGGGGAGCAAACAGG